ensembl:misc_RNA Metazoa_SRP Metazoan signal recognition particle RNA
GCCAGGCAUAUUGGCACAUACCUGUAGUCUUGGCUCCUCGGGAGGCUGAGGCAGGAGGAUUGCUUGAGCCCAGGAGUUCGAGGCCAUAGUGCACUAUGAUCAUGCCUGUGAAUAGGCACUGCUCUCCAGCCUGGGAAACAUAGCAAGACUCUGCCUCCU